rnacentral:rRNA from 1 species
GACGAACGCUGGCGGCGUGCUUAACACAUGCAAGUCGAACGAAGUGGCGCACGGGUGAGUAACGCGUAAUCAACCUGCCCUUCAGAGGGGGACAACAGUUGGAAACGACUGCUAAUACCGCAUACUGAAGGAGGGGAUUGCGUCUGAUUAGCUAGUUGGAGGGGUAACGGCCCACCAAGGCGAAGAUCAGUAGGCGGUCCGAGAGGAGGAACGGGCAAAACGGGACUUGGACAAGGCCCAGACCCCGUCGGGAGGCAGCAGUGGGGAAUCUUCCGCAAUGGACGAAAGUCUGACGGAGCAACGCCGCGGUGGUGAUGACGGCCUUCGGGUUGGAAAGCUCUGUUAAUCGGGACGCGGUACCGGAAUAGAAAGCCACGGCUAACUACGUGCCAGCAGCCGCGGUAAUAC